rnacentral:rRNA from 1 species
UGCAGCAACGCCGCGUGAGGGAUGACGGCCUUCGGGUUGUAAACCUCUUUUAGUAGGGAAGAAGCGAAAGUGACGGUACCUGCAGAAAAAGCACCGGCUAACUACGUGCCAGCAGCCGCGGUAAUACGUAGGGUGCAAGCGUUAUCCGGAAUUAUUGGGCGUAAAGAGCUCGUAGGCGGUUUGUCGCGUCUGCUGUGAAAACUGGAGGCUCAACCUCCAGCCUGCAGUGGGUACGGGCAGACUAGAGUGCGGUAGGGGAGAUUGGAAUUCCUGGUGUAGCGGUGGAAUGCGCAGAUAUCAGGAGGAACACCGAUGGCGAAGGCAGAUCUCUGGGCCGUAACUGACGCUGAGGAGCGAAAGCAUGGGGAGCGAACAGGAUUAGAUACCCUGGUAGUCCAUGCCGUAAACGUUGGGAACUAGAUGUAGGGACCAUUCCACGGUUUCUGUGUCGCAGCUAACGCAUUAAGUUCCCCGCCUGGGGAGUACGGCCGCAAGGCUAAAACUCAAAGGAAUUGACGGGGGCCCGCACAAGCGGCGGAGCAUGCGGAUUAAUUCGAUGCAACGCGAAGAACCUUACCAAGGCUUGACAUAUACCGGAAAAGUUCAGAAAUGUUCUCCCCGCAAGG